rnacentral:rRNA from 1 species
GUGCCAGCAGCCGCGGUAAUUCCAGCUCCAAUAGCGUAUAUUAAAGUUGUUGCAGUUAAAAAGCUCGUAGUUGGAUCUGAGGAGUAGAGUAGACGGUGCGCCUUUCAGGUUCUACUGUUUGCUCAUCCUACCUAGCCGGUGACCGUCUCGGUGCUCUUAACUGAGCGCCUUGAUAGCCCGACAUGUUUACUUUGAACAAAUUAGAGUGCUCAACGCAGGCUUCAGGCUUGUAUAUUAGUGCAUGGAAUAAUGGAAUAGGACUUUAGUUCUAUUUUGUUGGUUUACGGAACCUAAGUAAUGAUUAAAAGGGACAGGCGGGGGCAUUCGUAUUGUGCCGGGAGAGGUGAAAUUCGAAGAUCGGCGCAAGACGACCUGCUGCGAAAGCAUUUGCCAAGUAUGUUUUCGUUAAUCAAGAACGAAAGUCAGAGGUUCGAAGACGAUUAGAUACCGUCCUAGUUCUGACCAUAAACGAUACCACCUGAUCAUCCGAGGUUGAUUGCUUGUUCGAUCCUUCGGGCGAUCUCCGGGAAACCAAAGUUUUUUGGUUCCGGGGGAAGUAUGGUUGCAAAUCCGAAACUUAAAGGAAUUGACGGAAGGGCACCACCAGGAGUGGAGCCUGCGGCUUAAUUUGACUCAACACGGGAAAGCUCACCCGGUCCGGACACUGUUAGGAUUGACAGAUUGAUAGCUCUUUCUUGAUUCAGUGGGUGGUGGUGCAUGGCCGUUCUUAGUUGGUGGAGCGAUUUGUCUGGUUAAUUCCGAUAACGAACGAGACUCUAGCCUGCUAAAUAGUACACUCAUCACAAGUGUGGGUGCUUGCUUCUUAGAGGGACAGGCGGCGCAUAGUCGCACGAGAUUGAGCAAUAACAGGUCUGUGAUGCCCUUAGAUGUCCGGGGCCGCACGCGCGCUACAAUGACAAGGUCAACUAGUGUUUCCUGGCCCGAAAGGGUUGGGUAACCUAAUAAAUUCUUGUCAUGACAGGGAUUGGGUUUUGAAAUUGUCGCCCAUGAACGAGGAAUUCCCAGUAAGUGCAAGUCAUAAACUUGCGCUGAUUACGUCCCUGCCCUUUGCACUCACCGCCCGUC